UAAGUUGAUGGUGAAAUCCUGGGGGCUCAACCCCUUACCCAUUAUCAAAACUGCCAAGCUUGAGGACAAGAGAGGUACCUGGAAUUCCUAGUGUAGGAGUGAAAUCCGUAGAUAUUAGGAGGAACACCGAUGGCGUAGGCAGGGUACUGGCUUGUUCCUGACACUAAGGCACGAAAGCGUGGGGAGCGAACGGGGAUUAGAUACCCCCGGUAGUCCACGCCGUAAACGAUGGAUGCUA
rnacentral:rRNA from 1 species